GCCGGCGCCAGAGAGGAGAAGAGAGGAGGGGAGGCCUCCUCCGCCGCCAUCUUGGACCGGGCCCGUUCAGCUUCCGUGGAGCCGUCGGCAGCCGCUGCCGAGCCUUUCCUUGAUCCCUGAAUCCCCUACUCGGUCGUCUAGAACAAUCCCGGGCACACUUCCUCUAUCAACAACCCAACCCCACUUCCGGCUUUCGCGCCCUCUUAUCGCGAUAGCGCCCGGGCUCGGGGCGCGAGGAAAGAGGAAAAAAAAAAAAAAAAGGCGGCGGGCGGGCGCUCGCCUCUCUCUCCCCCCUCCUCGCCUGUCGCGAUACGCUCCGCAGCGGCGGCGCCAGCUCCUGCGCGUCCGUUUUCAAGAGAGUAUGAAGAGAGUGCAUCUGUAGGCAGGGAAGAUGGCGGACAAGCGCAAACUCCAAGGUGAGAUUGAUCGCUGCCUCAAGAAGGUGUCCGAAGGCGUGGAGCAGUUUGAAGAUAUUUGGCAAAAGCUCCACAAUGCGGCCAACGCGAACCAGAAAGAAAAGUAUGAGGCUGAUCUAAAGAAGGAGAUUAAGAAGCUACAACGGCUGAGGGACCAGAUCAAGACAUGGGUAGCAUCCAAUGAGAUCAAGGACAAAAGGCAGCUUAUCGAAAACCGCAAGCUCAUUGAAACGCAAAUGGAACGGUUCAAAGUUGUGGAACGAGAGACCAAAACCAAAGCUUAUAGCAAGGAGGGUCUGGGUCUAGCUCAGAAGGUGGACCCUGCCCAGAAGGAGAAGGAAGAAGUUGGCCAGUGGCUCACGAACACCAUUGACACCUUAAAUAUGCAGGUGGACCAGUUUGAGAGUGAAGUGGAGUCACUGUCUGUACAGACGCGCAAGAAGAAAGGCGACAAGGAUCAGAAGCAGGACCGGAUUGAGGGCUUAAAGCGGCACAUCGAGAAGCACCGCUACCAUGUACGUAUGCUGGAGACCAUCCUGCGUAUGCUGGACAAUGACUCCAUCCUGGUUGAUGCCAUCCGCAAGAUCAAGGAUGAUGUGGAGUACUACGUUGACUCAUCCCAGGACCCUGACUUUGAAGAGAACGAAUUCCUCUAUGACGACCUGGACCUCGAGGACAUUCCACAGGCGCUGGUCGCCACCUCCCCCCCCAGCCACAGCCACAUGGAGGACGAGAUCUUCAACCAGUCUAGCAGUACACCCACCUCAACAACCUCCAGCUCUCCCAUCCCACCCAGCCCAGCAAACUGCACUACGGAAAACUCUGAAGAUGAUAAGAAGAGAGGCCGCUCCACAGAUAGUGAAGUCAGCCAGUCUCCAGCCAAAAAUGGCUCCAAGCCUGUCCACAGCAACCAGCACCCCCAGUCCCCAGCUGUGCCGCCCACCUACCCCUCUGGCCCCCCACCUGCCACUUCUGCCUUGAGCUCCACCCCUGGCAACAAUGGGGCCUCUACCCCAGCAGCACCUACAAGUGCCCUGGGCCCUAAGGCCAGUCCAGCUCCCAGCCACAACUCGGGUACUCCUGCCCCCUAUGCCCAGGCUGUGGCCCCACCCAAUGCCAGCGGGCCCAGCAAUGCCCAGCCCCGGCCCCCCAGUGCCCAGCCAAGCGGGGGAAGUGGUGGUGGCAGCGGAGGGAGCAGCAGCAAUAGUAACAGUGGCACAGGCGGAGGGGCUGGCAAGCAGAACGGUGCCACCAGCUAUAGUUCAGUUGUGGCAGACAGCCCUGCAGAGGUGACCCUGAGUACCAGUGGAGGCAGCAGUGCCAGCAGCCAAGCCCUGGGGCCCACUUCAGGCCCUCACAACCCAGCUCCCAGCACCUCAAAAGAAUCCAGUACUGCGGCCCCAUCGGGGGCUGGGAGUGUGGCUUCAGGCUCAGGGAACAACUCAGGGGGGCCCAGCCUCUUGGUGCCGCUGCCUGUAAAUCCCCCCAGUUCUCCAACGCCCAGCUUCAGUGAAGCCAAGACAGCUGGUACCCUGCUCAAUGGUCCUCCACAGUUCAGCACCACCCCAGAAAUCAAGGCCCCUGAACCUCUCAGCUCUCUGAAGUCCAUGGCAGAACGGGCAGCUAUCAGCUCUGGUAUUGAGGACCCUGUGCCAACGUUACACCUAACUGAUCGAGACAUCAUCCUGAGCACAUCAGCACCACCCACCUCAUCCCAGCCACCCCUGCAGCUAUCAGAGGUGAACAUACCAUUGUCACUGGGCGUCUGUCCACUGGGGCCAGUGUCCCUCACCAAGGAGCAGCUAUACCAACAGGCCAUGGAAGAGGCCGCCUGGCACCACAUGCCCCACCCCUCUGACUCCGAGCGUAUUCGGCAGUACCUCCCCCGGAACCCUUGCCCGACACCCCCCUACCACCACCAGAUGCCACCCCCACACUCGGACACUGUGGAGUUCUACCAGCGCCUGUCAACUGAGACGCUCUUCUUCAUCUUCUACUAUCUGGAGGUACAGCAGGGCCCCCGGGGCAGCCUCGGGCCCCCCAGCUCCGCCGCCACCGCUGCCAUCCCCCCUCGGGCUGGAGGGGCGAGGGAACCAAGGCACAGUACUUGGCAGCCAAGGCCCUAAAGAAGCAGUCCUGGCGAUUCCACACCAAGUAUAUGAUGUGGUUCCAGAGGCACGAGGAGCCCAAGACCAUCACAGAUGAGUUUGAGCAGGGCACCUACAUCUACUUUGACUACGAGAAGUGGGGCCAGCGGAAGAAGGAAGGCUUCACCUUUGAGUAUCGCUACCUGGAGGACCGGGACCUCCAGUGACACCGGCCCCCCCUCUACCCUCCCCCUCCCCCGCAUGCUGAUCCCCCUGCCCAGGUGAGGGCCCUGCCCUGGAAGACUGGGGGAGGCCCAAGGCCAUGGGACACCCUCCCCCCCAGGAAGCAGGGAAGGGAUAGGGAGGUUUUCUCUUCCUCUCUGCCCUACCCUGGGGGCCUGGGGGCAAGGGCUGCCCCCUCCUCCCCUCCCCAGUGAGGGACAUUUUUUGGUAAACCUAUUUUCAUUUUGGAAAAUAUUUAUGAAUAAAUAGUUUUAUAUGACG